rnacentral:rRNA from 1 species
CCUACGGGAGGCUGCAGUGGGGAAUAUUGCACAAUGGGCGCAAGCCUGAUGCAGCCAUGCCGCGUGUGUGAAGAAGGCCUUCGGGUUGUAAAGCACUUUCAGCGGGGAGGAAGGCGGUGAGGUUAAUAACCUCAUCGAUUGACGUUACCCGCAGAAGAAGCACCGGCUAACUCCGUGCCAGCAGCCGCGGUAAUACGGAGGGUGCAAGCGUUAAUCGGAAUUACUGGGCGUAAAGCGCACGCAGGCGGUCUGUCAAGUCGGAUGUGAAAUCCCCGGGCUCAACCUGGGAACUGCAUUCGAAACUGGCAGGCUAGAGUCUUGUAGAGGGGGGUAGAAUUCCAGGUGUAGCGGUGAAAUGCGUAGAGAUCUGGAGGAAUACCGGUGGCGAAGGCGGCCCCCUGGACAAAGACUGACGCUCAGGUGCGAGAGCGUGGGGAGUAAACAGGAUUAGAUACCCUAGUAGUC